rnacentral:rRNA from 1 species
GACGAACGCUGGCGGCGUGCUUAACACAUGCAAGUCGAACGAUGAAGCCGGAGCUUGCUCUGGUGAAUUAGUGGCGAACGGGUGAGUAACACGUGAGUAACCUGCCCUUGACUCUGGGAUAACUGCGGGAAACUGUAGCUAAUACCGGAUACGACCCUCGGAGGCAUCUCCUGGGGGUGGAAAGAAUUUCGGUCAAGGAUGGACUCGCGGCCUAUCAGCUAGUUGGUGAGGUAAAGGCUCACCAAGGCGACGACGGGUAGCCGGCCUGAGAGGGUGACCGGCCACACUGUGACUGAGACACGGCCCAGACUCCUACGGGAGGCAGCAGUGGGGAAUAUUGCACAAUGGGCGCAAGCCUGAUGCAGGAACGCCGCGUGAGGGAUGACGGCCUUCGGGUUGUAAACCUCUUUUAGCAGGGAAGAAGCGAAAGUGACGGUACCUGCAGAAAAAGCACCGGCUAACUACGUGCCAGCCGCCGCGGUAA